CGCACCGCUUCCCGCUGUGCUCGGCGCCCCCCGGGCCGGAGCGAGGCUGCGCGGCGGCCAUUGGCUGCGGGCGGCUCCUCCCCGCGCCUCGGGCAGCUCGGGGCCGUGCGGGGACGGCCGUGCGGGGACGGCGAGCCCCGGGCCCCGCGCCGCCCGUGUGCGGGCCGUGCGAUCGCCGCUAACGGCCGGCCCCGCUCGGUGCGUUGCAGCCGGGAGCGCCUGGCACCGCGCUGACCGUCCGCCCGUGGGGCCGGCAGCGGAGGGCGAGCGGCGGCACGACGAGGACCGGGACGACGACUACGACGAGGACGACGACGAGCGGAGCCUGCGGACGGCCCUCAAGAAGCUGCGGCUGGACGCGGCGCGGCGGCACGAGGAGGAGGAGCAGCAGCAGCAGCAGCAGAACGACGAGGACGACGACGACGAGGACGAGGAGGAGCGCAGCCUGCGGACGGCCCUCCAGGAGCUGCGGGUGGACGCGGCGCGAUGCAUCGCGGCUCAGCCUGCGGGCGACGGGACGGUUCUCGCAGCGCCGGGGAGAAGAGCUGCAGAUGGAGCCCAGCAACCGUCCGUCUGCCGCCGGGAAGCACGGCAUGGGUGUGAGAGGACUGCAGGAGGACCGGCCAGUCUCUCACAACACGGACGUUCCAGGUCUGCUGUCCUAUCCAUCUGUGAAACAGCCCUGUGCAGCCCUCCCGCAUCCCGUUCUGUGGAGGCUCACAUGUAUGUCAGUGACGUGACUGUUGAGGACCUGGCAGGGUACCUGGAACACCAUCUGCAUAUACCAAAGAAAAUGUCUGCCAUGGCAGAAAUGAUGUAUUCAUAACGAAACAUCAAAAACAGUCACAAUUCUAAGCACUAUCAGAAAUUUAAAUGGCUCGUUUGUGCCAUAUUUGUAAUGUUCUGUUUCAUCAAAUGUUUUAUUACACAGUACAGUUUAGUUUUGUAAUUAAGAGAAAAACUGUACAUAGUUGCAUAGACUCCUGUGGCUGAAAUGAUGUAUACUUAACUGAAAGCCAUAUUCAGUCACAUAGUAAUAGUUUAUUUUUGUAACUCGAAUAAAAACUGUAUAUAGUCUCAU
ensembl:lncRNA